UCUCUUGUAUUGAGAUCAUCAUGGUGUUUGCUAGUUCCUUUGGGUUGCAUGUCUGCUUUUAUGAUAGGAUUAGUAUGUGCUAGCACAAUAAAACCAAAAAUUAGAAGGAGAUGAUGAAAAGAAAAGGUGAACUACUAUGAAUUUGAGUGGCUAUUCUUAAGGACUUAGUUGAAUUUUUGUAAGCAUUCAAGUUUUAGUUUUAAUUAUGUUUCUAUAUAGUAGGGGAUGUGGAUGCAAGCAUAAGAAAAUGAGCAAGGAAGGGACAUUUAUAACAGAUAAAUCAUUAAAUAAAAUAGAGAAGUAAUUGAAGGGAAGAAAAGAAAAAGCCACCAAUGCCAAGACAGCAAUGAAAAACAAAAGGAGGGCAAGGUUUGAUUUUGGUGUUGACUGUGGACUUUAUUUACAGCUACUAGCCCGAGGACUACCCAGGCUCUCACAUUUUCUUGUUCAAAGCGAUAUGAAUUAUGCCUUUUUACUGAUAUCACUGUAAAAAAAAUCUUUAAAAAAUUUAAAUACAACAUUGUCAAAGAUUAGAAAAGCAUUCCAAGUGAUCACAAGUAAAGUCUAUCAGUGUUGAAAAUCAUUUUUACUGCUAUCAGUGUUGUAUCUAAAAGACUUGUUUGUUACUGGAGCAUUCCAGGUAUACUCUUGAAUGGAUGUAUUUUAAGAUUUGCAUUUAGCAAUAGCAUUUGAAAAAUAUGGUCAAGGAAAGAAUUCCAGUUUCAGUUAAUGGCAUUGAAGCAGAUCAGUCCUUUCCCAUCGUCAUCUCUUGUAUUGAGAUCAUCAU
rnacentral:misc_RNA from 1 species